GGGUUGUGAGGUUAAGCGACUAAGCGUACACGGUGGAUGCCCUGGCAGUCAGAGGCGAUGAAGGACGUGCUAAUCUGCGAUAAGCGUCGGUAAGGUGAUAUGAACCGUUAUAACCGGCGAUUUCCGAAUGGGGAAACCCAGUGUGAUUCGUCACACUAUCAUUAACUGAAUCCAUAGGUUAAUGAGGCGAACCGGGGGAACUGAAACAUCUAAGUACCCCGAGGAAAAGAAAUCAACCGAGAUUCCCCCAGUAGCGGCGAGCGAACGGGGAGCAGCCCAGAGCCUGAAUCAGUGUGUGUGUUAGUGGAAGCGUCUGGAAAGGCGUGCGAUACAGGGUGACAGCCCCGUACACAAAAAUGCACAUACUGUGAGCUCGAUGAGUAGGGCGGGACACGUGGUAUCCUGUCUGAAUAUGGGGGGACCAUCCUCCAAGGCUAAAUACUCCUGACUGACCGAUAGUGAACCAGUACCGUGAGGGAAAGGCGAAAAGAACCCCGGCGAGGGGAGUGAAAAAGAACCUGAAACCGUGUACGUACAAGCAGUGGGAGCACGCUUAGGCGUGUGACUGCGUACCUUUUGUAUAAUGGGUCAGCGACUUAUAUUCUGUAGCAAGGUUAACCGAAUAGGGGAGCCGAAGGGAAACCGAGUCUUAACUGGGCGUUAAGUUGCAGGGUAUAGACCCGAAACCCGGUGAUCUAGCCAUGGGCAGGUUGAAGGUUGGGUAACACUAACUGGAGGACCGAACCGACUAAUGUUGAAAAAUUAGCGGAUGACUUGUGGCUGGGGGUGAAAGGCCAAUCAAACCGGGAGAUAGCUGGUUCUCCCCGAAAGCUAUUUAGGUAGCGCCUCGUGAAUUCAUCUCCGGGGGUAGAGCACUGUUUCGGCAAGGGGGUCAUCCCGACUUACCAACCCGAUGCAAACUGCGAAUACCGGAGAAUGUUAUCACGGGAGACACACGGCGGGUGCUAACGUCCGUCGUGAAGAGGGAAACAACCCAGACCGCCAGCUAAGGUCCCAAAGUCAUGGUUAAGUGGGAAACGAUGUGGGAAGGCCCAGACAGCCAGGAUGUUGGCUUAGAAGCAGCCAUCAUUUAAAGAAAGCGUAAUAGCUCACUGGUCGAGUCGGCCUGCGCGGAAGAUGUAACGGGGCUAAACCAUGCACCGAAGCUGCGGCAGCGACGCUUAUGCGUUGUUGGGUAGGGGAGCGUUCUGUAAGCCUGUGAAGGUGUGCUGUGAGGUAUGCUGGAGGUAUCAGAAGUGCGAAUGCUGACAUAAGUAACGAUAAAGCGGGUGAAAAGCCCGCUCGCCGGAAGACCAAGGGUUCCUGUCCAACGUUAAUCGGGGCAGGGUGAGUCGACCCCUAAGGCGAGGCCGAAAGGCGUAGUCGAUGGGAAACAGGUUAAUAUUCCUGUACUUGGUGUUACUGCGAAGGGGGGACGGAGAAGGCUAUGUUGGCCGGGCGACGGUUGUCCCGGUUUAAGCGUGUAGGCUGGUUUUCCAGGCAAAUCCGGAAAAUCAAGGCCGAGGCGUGAUGACGAGGCACUACGGUGCUGAAGCAACAAAUGCCCUGCUUCCAGGAAAAGCCUCUAAGCAUCAGGUAACAUCAAAUCGUACCCCAAACCGACACAGGUGGUCAGGUAGAGAAUACCAAGGCGCUUGAGAGAACUCGGGUGAAGGAACUAGGCAAAAUGGUGCCGUAACUUCGGGAGAAGGCACGCUGAUACGUAGGUGAAGCGACUUGCUCGUGGAGCUGAAAUCAGUCGAAGAUACCAGCUGGCUGCAACUGUUUAUUAAAAACACAGCACUGUGCAAACACGAAAGUGGACGUAUACGGUGUGACGCCUGCCCGGUGCCGGAAGGUUAAUUGAUGGGGUUAGCGCAAGCGAAGCUCUUGAUCGAAGCCCCGGUAAACGGCGGCCGUAACUAUAACGGUCCUAAGGUAGCGAAAUUCCUUGUCGGGUAAGUUCCGACCUGCACGAAUGGCGUAAUGAUGGCCAGGCUGUCUCCACCCGAGACUCAGUGAAAUUGAACUCGCUGUGAAGAUGCAGUGUACCCGCGGCAAGACGGAAAGACCCCGUGAACCUUUACUAUAGCUUGACACUGAACAUUGAGCCUUGAUGUGUAGGAUAGGUGGGAGGCUUUGAAGUGUGGACGCCAGUCUGCAUGGAGCCGACCUUGAAAUACCACCCUUUAAUGUUUGAUGUUCUAACGUGGACCCGUGAUCCGGGUUGCGGACAGUGUCUGGUGGGUAGUUUGACUGGGGCGGUCUCCUCCUAAAGAGUAACGGAGGAGCACGAAGGUUGGCUAAUCCUGGUCGGACAUCAGGAGGUUAGUGCAAUGGCAUAAGCCAGCUUGACUGCGAGCGUGACGGCGCGAGCAGGUGCGAAAGCAGGUCAUAGUGAUCCGGUGGUUCUGAAUGGAAGGGCCAUCGCUCAACGGAUAAAAGGUACUCCGGGGAUAACAGGCUGAUACCGCCCAAGAGUUCAUAUCGACGGCGGUGUUUGGCACCUCGAUGUCGGCUCAUCACAUCCUGGGGCUGAAGUAGGUCCCAAGGGUAUGGCUGUUCGCCAUUUAAAGUGGUACGCGAGCUGGGUUUAGAACGUCGUGAGACAGUUCGGUCCCUAUCUGCCGUGGGCGCUGGAGAACUGAGGGGGGCUGCUCCUAGUACGAGAGGACCGGAGUGGACGCAUCACUGGUGUUCGGGUUGUCAUGCCAAUGGCACUGCCCGGUAGCUAAAUGCGGAAGAGAUAAGUGCUGAAAGCAUCUAAGCACGAAACUUGCCCCGAGAUGAGUUCUCCCUGACCCUUUAAGGGUCCUGAAGGAACGUUGAAGACGACGACGUUGAUAGGCCGGGUGUGU
rnacentral:rRNA from 1 species